GGAAUCUUGCGCAAUGGGCGAAAGCCUGACGCAGCAACGCCGCGUGCGGGAUGAAGGCCUUCGGGUUGUAAACCGCUUUUAACAGGAACGAAAAUGACGGUACCUGCAGAAUAAGGUGCGGCCAACUACGUGCCAGCAGCCGCGGUGACACGUAGGCACCAAGCGUUGUCCGGAUUUAUUGGGCGUAAAGAGCUCGUAGGCGGUUCAGGUAGUCGGGUGUGAAAACUCUGGGCUCAACCCAGAGACGCCACCCGAUACUCCUGUGACUAGAGUUCGGUAGGGGAGCGGGGAAUUCCUAGUGUAGCGGUGAAAUGCGCAGAUAUUAGGAGGAACACCGGUGGCGAAGGCGCCGCUCUGGGCCGAAACUGACGCUGAGGAGCGAAAGCGUGGGUAGCAAACAGGAUUAGAUACCCUGGUAGUCCACGCCGUAAACGGUGGGCACUAGGUGUGGGUUCCAACCAACGGAAUCCGCGCCGUCGCUAACGCAUUAAGUGCCCCGCCUGGGGAGUACGGCCGCAAGGUUAAAACUCAAAUGAAUUGACGG
rnacentral:rRNA from 1 species